rnacentral:tRNA from 1 species
GGGGCCAUAUCUCAAUUGGGAGAGCGCUUGCAAGGCAUGCAAGAGGUCAGCGGUUCGAUCCCGCUUGGCUCCACCA